GGCGGACGGGUGAGUAAUGCAUAGGAAUCUGCCCAGUAGCGGGGGACAACUCGGAGAAAUCCGAGCUAAUACCGCAUACGCCCUACGGGGGAAAGCGGGGGACCUUCGGGCCUCGCACUAUUGGAUGAGCCUAUGUCUGAUUAGCUUGUUGGUGGGGUAACGGCCUACCAAGGCGACGAUCAGUAGCUGGUCUGAGAGGACGAUCAGCCACACUGGGACUGAGACACGGCCCAGACUCCUACGGGAGGCAGCAGUGGGGAAUAUUGCACAAUGGGCGAAAGCCUGAUGCAGCAAUGCCGCGUGUGUGAAGAAGGCCUGCGGGUUGUAAAGCACUUUCAGUUGGGAGGAAAAGCAAUGGGCCAAUACCCCGUUGUCUUGACGUUACCUACAGAAGAAGCACCGGCUAACUCUGUGCCAGCAGCCGCGGUAAUACAGAGGGUGCAAGCGUUAAUCGGAAUUACUGGGCGUAAAGCGCGCGUAGGCGGUUUGGUCAGUCGGAUGUGAAAGCCCCGGGCUUAACCUGGGAAUUGCAUUCGAUACUGCCAGACUAGAGUGUA
rnacentral:rRNA from 1 species